UACGUAGGGGCUAGCGUUAUCCGGAUUUACUGUGCUUAAAGGGUGCGUAGGCGGUCUUUCAAGUCAGGAGUGAAAGGCUACGGCUCAACCGUAGUAAGUUCUUGAAACUGUAAGACUUGAGUGUAGGAGAGGAGAGUGGAAUUCCUAGUGUAGCGGUGAAAUGCGUAGAUAUUAGGAGGAACACCAGUUGCGAAGGCGGCUCUCUGGACUGUAACUGACGCUGAGGCACGAAAGCGUGGGGAGCAAACAGGAUUAGAUACCCUGGUAGUCCCU
rnacentral:rRNA from 1 species